AAUGGAAUGCCUGAUAAAAGGGUUAUCUUGAUAGGAUAAAUAAUGUAUGGUUCAUACUUCCAUUA
rnacentral:tRNA from 1 species